AUCAACUCAGAACAUACCCACUUGGCUGAGUUUGGCAAGAGCAGUGGAUUCCAGCCCAGAACACACCAGCCUGGAUCAGCAGGGUGUGGAAAAUGGGAUUGUGCCGUUCCCACCUCCAGCUCCAGUUAUUCCUCCCCCAGGAAGAUGAGGAUUCACCACCACUGCCCAUAGGGACAGCUGGAGGUCCCAGUUUUAGGGAUAAUCUCUGGUUUUAAAAAAUCUGCAGAGGGUUUCUAGGACCUGCAAACGUUCAUUGGAUUGCAGGACCUGGAAUUUUGCUCUUUGGAGAGCUCACACCCCUCCAAGUGGCAGCCAGCCCCCCUUUGGUGUCCCUUGCCUGUCUCCUUGUCUCAGUGCUUCUGUCCAGAGCCCAUCCUGCAAGGUUGGGAAUGAUCCCUGUACCCCCAACACCACAUUUGCUGAGCCUCCAGCCCAGGAUGAGCUCAGUGCUCCACGCCAUUCCUCAGAGGAUGGAAUUCCCAAUCCUCCAGCCGCCGUACCUGCUCUCCAUGCCCACUUUUCCCUCAGCACAGGGGCCAGAGCACAGCACAGGAGCUGUGGCAGGCUGGAAUUAAGCAGCAGGAGCAAGAGGGAUCAGCGAGGAUUUCCGGGGAGAUUUGAAACACAAACAAGCAUGAGGAACUCUAAAAGUACACAAUUUUUACUC